AGUUUGAUCCUGGCUCAGAAUGAACGUUGGCGGCGUGGAUUAGGCAUGCAAGUCGAACGCGAAAGCCGCAAGGUCAGUAGCGUGGCGAAAGGGGCAGUAAUGCAUAAGCAACUUACCCUCAGGUCUGGGAUAUCCAGGGGAAACCCUGUGCAAUACUGGACGCCGUAACCGGAUCGCAUGGUUUGGUUACGAAAGGUGACGCCUGAGGAGAGGCUUAUGUCCUAUCAGCUUGUUGGUGAGGUAACGGCUCACCAAGGCGACGACGGGUAGGGGGUGUGAGAGCACGACCCCCGUCACUGGGCACUGAGACACUGGCCAGACUUCUACGGGAGGCUGCAGUCGAGAAUCUUCGGCAAUGGGCGAAAGCUGAACCGAGCGACGCCGCGUGGAGGAUGAAGGCCUUCGGGGUUGUAAACUCCUGUUGGGGGGGAACAAAUUUGAGUGAACCCCUGAGGAAGCACGGGCUAAGUUCGUGCCAGCAGCCGCGGUAAGACGAACCGUGCGAACGUUAUUUGGAAUCACUGGGCUUA
rnacentral:rRNA from 1 species